GAGUUUGAUCCUGGCUCAGGAUGAACGCUGGCGGCGUGCUUAACACAUGCAAGUCGAGCGAAGCAGUUAAGUUGAUUUCUUCGGAUUGAUUCUUAAUUGACUGAGCGGCGGACGGGUGAGUAACGCGUGGGUGACCUGCCCCAUACCGGGGGAUAACAGCUGGAAACGGCUGCUAAUACCGCAUAAGCGCACAGAGCUGCAUGGCUCAGUGUGAAAAACUCCGGUGGUAUGGGAUGGGCCCGCGUCUGAUUAGGCAGUUGGCGGGGUAACGGCCCACCAAACCGACGAUCAGUAGCCGGCCUGAGAGGGCGACCGGCCACAUUGGGACUGAGACACGGCCCAAACUCCUACGGGAGGCAGCAGUGGGGAAUAUUGCACAAUGGGGGAAACCCUGAUGCAGCGACGCCGCGUGGAGGAAGAAGGUUUUCGGAUUGUAAACUCCUGUCGUUAGGGACGAUAAUGACGGUACCUAACAAGAAAGCACCGGCUAACUACGUGCCAGCCGCCGCGGUAAUUC
rnacentral:rRNA from 1 species